UCAUCCAAGAUGGCGGCGCCCAUGAAAGGAAGUAGGCGAAUCCCAUCCUCACUAUGACCCCAAAACGAAUGCUUCGAUUGUGAGGAAAAGACCUUUUAGAGGUUGACCUGCAACCUCAGGUUUUCCCAGGUUGGUUCAGCCAAUGACAUAGAUUGACUGUGAUAACCAUGUCCGGGGAAAUUUUUCAACCAAUGGAAAGCCUUGAAGAUACCGACGUGGCCAAAAGGAACCCCCUGCUGUGCUACCUGUGCAAUGAACAAUAUGAUGACCCCUGUAUACUCUCGUGCUUCCACAGCUUCUGUAUGCGCUGUUUGCGGGGCCGAGCAGCGGACUCACAGAUGCUGUGUCCUCUUUGUGGGGCAACCACACCUUUAAAAGAAGGAAACUCAUUACCUCCUCCUGAUCCCCUGCUGAAGUUCAUGGUCGAAUCAUCCCUGGACGAGAAAGCAUCAUGUGCCAACUGUGAUAAAGACUGUAACCCCAUGUAUUUCUGCAACACCUGCUGCCAGCCCCUGUGUACUGGCUGUAGAGAUGAAACCCACCGCGCCAAGAUGUUCGCUGCUCACGACAUUGUUGUCUUAUCCAAGAGAACAAAAGAAAUACACAAGCGCUGCUCGCUGCACAAGGAGCCGUACAUCAUGUUCUCCAUAGAGAAGAAAAUCAUGCUGUGCAUCAACUGCUUCAGGGACAUGCGGAUUGAGAGUCGGACGCACUGCGUGGACCUAGAGACCGCUUACAACCAAAGUUGUCGCAAGCUUGAGCAGAGUGUUCAAGCUGUACGGGAUCUACAGAACUCUGUGAGAGAUGGAAUCUUGCUGCUACGAGCACUGCUUGAGGAGAUCAAACAGAAUGCAAGGAAGGAAAGUGAAGCAGUUUCUUCCCUCUAUGACUCCAUGCAGGAGAAGAUCAAACUGACCAUGGAGACGCUCCUUGAGGAGUCCAACAGCCAGUACAAGGCGAAAGAGUCCUCGUUCAAGGCACAGCUGACUGGCCUGACCACCCUCCUACCCACCAUCCAUGUCCAUCUUGUGACAUCAGCAGCAUUCGCCAGCUCUGCCAAUAAGUUUGAGUUUCUAGAUAUGUCCUAUGCCAUGAUGGAGAGACUCAAGGCCAUCGUCCACUGUCAGCAUCCCCUCCACCCAACACAAGGCAGCCAGAUAGACACAGACUUCAAGAACAAAUUUGCCAAGAGCUUGGAGCCCCUGUUGUAUGAUGGCCCCGGGAAAGUGUUUCUGGCGUCUAGCCCUGUCCUACAACGAUCCACAGGAGUGCCUUCCUCACCCAGUUUCAACAGGAUUGAGGUGCCCAAGUUAGCUAAUCAGGCAGCAGCUGCAGGAAACACCCCUGUCAAGGCACCACAGAACAAUGGUCGCCGUAAUGGCAUCGGCAAAGUCAAGUUUAUUGAUGCCAAGGGUGUCUUUGCAGAACAUUGUGUAGAGUUUGAAACUUCUCAUCGGGAUGUGCUGCAGAAGCUCGAGAAACUCAAGUCUCAGGUGCAGGAGCUGCAGAGAGAUCUGACCCUGAGGCGAUGUCUGGCGCGGCGGUCGGCGGUGGAGGAGCUAAAGAGUGUCAUUGAUGGUGUCGAGUGUCAGCUUGAGAAGCACUACGGCUACAUAGAGGAAAAACAGCCAACACUCGAGAAGCACUGGGAGGAGAGUGUCCAAAGGAUAGCCAAUGAACAAGAGCUGUACCAGGCUCAGUGCCAGGAUGUUGUGAGACUCCAGCUGGAGACAAAGCACCUGAAGGUCAUCACAGCCCAGCUGACCUCCUACAUCUCAUCCAUAGCCUCCGUCACAGAGAGACUCGCACCCAAGUAGGUACCACAUAGCCUCCGUCACAGAGAGACUCGCACCCAAGUAGGUACCAAAUAGCCUCCGUCACAGAGAGACUCGCACCCAAGUAGGUACCACAUAGCCUCCGUCACAGAGAGACUCGCACCCAAGUAGGUACCACAUAGCCUCCGUCACAGAGAGACUCGCACCCAAGUAGGUACCACAUAGCCUCCUUCACAGAGAGACUCGCACCCAAGUAGGUACCACAUAGCCUCCGUCACAGAGAGACUCGCACCCAAGUAGGUACCACAUAGCCUCCGUCACAGAGAGACUCGCACCCAAGUAGGUACCACAUAGCCUCCUUCACAGAGAGACUUGCACCCAAGUAGGUACCCCAUAGCCUCCGUCACAGAGAGACUCGCACCCAAGUAGGUACCCCAUUAUCUCCGUCACAGAGAGACUCGCACCCAAGUAGGUACCCCAUUAUCUCCGUCACAGAGAGACUCGCACCCAAGUAGGUACCACAUAGCCUCCGUCAGAGUGAGACUCGCACCCAAGUAGGUACCCCAUUGCCUCCGUCACAGAGAGACAUGCACCCAAGUAGGUACCUUGUAGUCUUCAUCACAGAGAGACUCGCACCCAAGUAGGUACCCCAUUGCCUCCGUCACAGAGAGACAUGCACCCAAGUAGGUACCCCAUUGCCUCCGUCACAGAGAGACAUGCACCCAAGUAGGUACCUUGUAGUCUUCAUCACAGAGAGACAUGCACCCAAGUAGGUACCCCAUUGCCUCCGUCACAGAGAGACAUGCACCCAAGUAGGUACCACAUAGCCUCCGUCACAGAGAGACUCGCACCCAAGUAGGUACCCCAUUGCCUCUGUCACAGAGAGACAUGCACCCAAGUAGGUACCCCAUUGCCUCCGUCACAGAGAGACAUGCACCUAAGUAGGUACCCCAUUAUCUCCAUCACAGAGAGACUCGCACCCAAGUAGGUACCUUGUAGUCUUCAUCACAGAGAGACUCGCACCCAAGUAGGUACCCCAUUGCCUCUGUCACAGAGAGACAUGCACCCAAGUAGGUACCCCAUUGCCUCCGUCACAGAGAGACAUGCACCUAAGUAGGUACCCCAUUAUCUCCGUCACAGAGAGACUCGCACCCAGGUAGGUACCUUGUAGUCUUCAUCACAGAGAGACUUGCACCCAAGUAGGUACCCCAUUGCCUCUGUCACAGAGAGACAUGCACCCAAGUAGGUACCCCAUUGCCUCUGUCACAGAGAGACAUGCACCCAAGUAGGUACCCCAUUGCCUCCAUCACAGAGAGACAUGCACCUAAGUAGGUACCCCAUUAUCUCCAUCACAGAGAGACUCGCACCCAAGUAGGUACCUUGUAGUCUUCAUCACAGAGAGACUUGCACCCAAGUAGGUACCCCAUUGCCUCUGUCACAGAGAGACAUGCACCCAAGUAGGUACCCCUUUAUCUCCGUCACAGAGAGACUCGCACCCAAGUAGGUACCUUGUAGUCUUCAUCACAGAGAGACUUGCACCCAAGUAGGUACCCCAUUGCCUCUGUCACAGAGAGACAUGCACCCAAGUAGGUACCCCAUUGCCUCUGUCACAGAGAGACAUGCACCCAAGUAGGUACCCCAUUAUCUCCGUCACAGAGACACUCGCACCCAAGUAGGUACCACAUAGCCUCCUUCACAGAGAGACUCGCACCCAAGUAAGUACCUUGUAGUCUCCGUCACAGAGAGACAUGCACCCAAGUAGGUACCCCAUUAUCUCCUUCACAGAGAGACUCGCACCCAAGUAGGUACCACAUAGCCUCCGUGUCAGAGAGACUCGCACCCAAGUAGGUACCCCAUAGCCUCCGUCACAGAGAGACUCGCACCCAAGUAGGUACCCCAUUAUCUCCGUCACAGAGAGACUCGCACCCAAGUAUGUACCCCAUAGCCUCCGUCACAGAGAAACUCGCACCCAAGUAGGUACCCCAUUAUCUCCGUCACAGAGACACUCGCACCCAAGUAGGUACCACAUAGCCUCCGUGUCAGAGAGACUCGCACCCAAGUAGGUACCCCAUAGCCUCCGUCACAGAGAGACUCGCACCCAAGUAGGUACCCCAUUAUCUCCGUCACAGAGAGACUCGCACCCAAGUAGGUACCACAUAGCCUCCGUCACAGAGAGACUCACACCCAAGUAGGUACCCCAUUGCCUCCGUCACAGAGAGACAUGCAUCCAAGUAGGUACCUUGUAGUCUUUAUCACAGAGAGACUCGCACCCAAGUAGGUACCCCAUUGCCUCCGUCACAGAGAGACAUGCACCCAAGUAGGUACCCCAUUGCCUCUGUCACAGAGAGACAUGCACCCAAGUAGGUACCCCAUUGCCUCUGUCACAGAGAGACAUGCACCCAAGUAGGUACCCCAUUGCCUCUGUCACAGAGAGACAUGCACCCAAGUAGGUACCCCAUUGCCUCUGUCACAGAGAGACAUGCACCCAAGUAGGUACCCCAUUGCCUCUGUCACAGAGAGACAUGCACCCAAGUAGGUACCCCAUUGCCUCUGUCACAGAGAGACAUGCACCCAAGUAGGUACCCCAUUGCCUCUGUCACAGAGAGACAUGCACCCAUGUAGGUACCCCAUUAUCUCCGUCACAGAGAGACUCGCACCCAAGUAGGUACCUUGUAGUCUUCAUCACAGAGAGACUCGCACCCAAGUAGGUACCCCAUUGCCUCUGUCACUGAGAGACAUGCACCCAAGUAGGUACCCCACUGCCUCCAUCACAGAGAGACAUGCACCCAAGUAGGUACCCCAUUAUCUCCGUCACAGAGAGACAUGCACCCAAGUAGGUACCCCAUUAUCUCCGUCACAGAGAGACUUGCACCCAAGGAGGUACCCCAUUAUCUCCGUCACAGAGAGACAUGCACCCAAGUAGGUACCUUGUAGUCUUCAUCACAGAGAGACAUGCACCCAAGUAGGUACCCCAUUGCCUCUGUCACAGAGAGACUUUCACCCAAGUAGGUACCACAUAGCCACCGUCACAGAGAGACAUGCACCCAAGUAGGUACCCCAUUGCCUCUGUCACAGAGAGACUCGCACCCAAGCUUGGCCAGUCUACGAAUGACACGGAGCAUGACAAUCAGAUGCAUGCAUUGUUGGACGAGAUCAACGCUGUGCACCCAGACUCCCAACAGAGAGUUGAUGCCAUUCAGACAGCUGAAGACAUCCGGCAGGUA